rnacentral:rRNA from 1 species
GAUGAACGCUGGCGGCGUGCCUAAUACAUGCAAGUCGAGCGAACAGACGAGGAGCUUGCUCCUCUGACGUUAGCGGCGGACGGGUGAGUAACACGUGGAUAACCUACCUAUAAGACUGGGAUAACUUCGGGAAACCGGAGCUAAUACCGGAUAAUAUAUUGAACCGCAUGGUUCAAUAGUGAAAGACGGUUUUGCUGUCACUUAUAGAUGGAUCCGCGCCGCAUUAGCUAGUUGGUAGGGUAACGGCUUACCAAGGCGACGAUGCGUAGCCGACCGGAGAGGGGGAUCGGCCGCACGGGAACGGAGACACGGUCCAGACUCCUACGGGAGGCAGCAGUAGGGAAUCGUACGCAAUGGGCGGAAGCCUGACGGAGCAGCGCCGAGUGAGUGAUGAAGGUCUUCGGAUCGUAAAACUCUGUUAUUAGGGAAGAACAAAUGUGUAAGGAACUAUGCACGUCUUGACGGUACCUAAUCAGAAAGCCACGGCUAACUACGUG